GUAGUACAUUGACCUGUCAUGGACUUGUUGUACGAUCGAGCUGAGAGAUAUCCACGAUCGUUCCACAUUCCUGGCCAAAUAAUACUUAACAUCAAGUUCUUUUGUGCCGUUACCAUCGAGUACCAGUCGCUCCAGCUUAUAGGUAACGAGUACAUGGUGCCCAAGUAUAUGCUUGAGUGGGUCAUCGAGGGAAAACCAUGGGAGGGUUGUACGCAUAUGUACAUUCCAGUAAUCGUGAAUCAUCACUGCAUUACUCUGAAGAUUGUGUAGCUAACUCGACGAUAUAUGUGUAUGACCCCAAUCACUUAUGUCUGACAUAGUGACAGCUCUAGCUGAACUUAAAGCCAGUGGUUGUGAUUGUUCCUCUGAUGGCUAGACAAACGGGCUUAACUUUGCAGGAAAGACUAGCCAUCGUGCGGGACACGACAACUGCGAGACAGUCCAUAUCGUAAGUGUUUGUAAAUUUAUUUUUAAAAUUAUAAAUUAGUUUUUACGUAAUUGGAACUGAACUAACAAUUCUUGUUCAUUUGCAGGGGCUACUGUGGCAUUUUUGCAAUUAAGUACAUUGAAUUUUUUUGUAUAGCACAUAAGGUUGAUGAAAUCAACCAAUUUUGGAUACAUAGUGGGCAUGCGACUUAUACGACUU
rnacentral:lncRNA from 1 species